AGGGACAUCGAUCCAUCAGAUGACACGGUUGGAGGCGAGUGGGAGGCCCUGGAAGGUUCAUCUAGAAGUUUCUCAGUAGCAGCACCCACUGAUUCUACUACAGAUGAGUGGCAAGUAGCCUCGGACCCUGCUAAAGCUGCCAGACUGUUCAGAGAGGCUCUUCUCAAAACGCAUGACUCUGGACCCCCACUGUGUUUAAGGAUGGAUUUAAGAGGCGCCGAAACGACCAGGACAGGACAAUUGUUGCAUUCUAUAAAGCACACCAAAAAAACUGGGCAGGUCCAUUGAAUUGCAGAUUGGAGGGGGACACUGCUAUUGGAGAGGGGGUGACUCGUUUCUUCUUCUCCAUCUGCAUGCAAAAGCUGAGAUCAGGGUUUUCUUUGAACUGUGGAAAUGCCAAUAUCACUCUGCUUUUUGAGGGUGAGCCAGACUACUUGGUUCCUUCGUCAUCAUCACUGCUCGUUGACAGCGACCUUUUCCAGAUGGCCGGAAGGAUGCUGGGACAUUGUUUUCUCCAUGGUGGUCCAGGUUUUGUGGGAAUGAGCCAGGCAAUACUACACGUCCUCCUUGGCGGAAGCCCUGAUGUGGCAACUGUAACCAUAAAGGACUGCCCAGAUAUCGACAUUCGUGAAACAAUCACUUUGCUUGAUGGAACAUCAGAGCUAUCGGAACAAGACAGAGCGUGUGUUCACAAUUUGGCCUUUGCAUGGGACCUUCCCAGAGUAACCGAA